AGUACCUACGGGGGGCAGCAGUGGGGGAUAUUGCACAAUGGGCGAAAGCCUGAUGCAGCGACGCCGCGUGAGGGGAGACGGUCUUCGGAUUGUAAACCUCUGUCUUUGGGGAAGAAUAAAGACGGUACCCAAAGAGGAAGCUCCGGCUAACUACGUGCCAGCAGCCGCGGUAAUACGUAGGGAGCGAGCGUUAUCCGGAAUUACUGGGUGUAAAGGGAGCGUAGGCGGGCUUGUAAGUUGAAUGUCUAAUCCACCGGCUCAACCGGUGAUCGCGUUCAAAACUGCAGGUCUUGAGUGAA
rnacentral:rRNA from 1 species